rnacentral:rRNA from 1 species
AUUGAACGCUGGCGGCAGGCCUAACACAUGCAAGUCGAGCGGAUGAAGGGAGCUUGCUCCUGGAUUCAGCGGCGGACGGGUGAGUAAUGCCUAGGAAUCUGCCUGGUAGUGGGGGAUAACGUCCGGAAACGGGCGCUAAUACCGCAUACGUCCUGAGGGAGAAAGUGGGGGAUCUUCGGACCUCACGCUAUCAGAUGAGCCUAGGUCGGAUUAGCUAGUUGGUGGGGUAAAGGCCUACCAAGGCGACGAUCCGUAACUGGUCUGAGAGGAUGAUCAGUCACCCUGGAACUGAGACACGGUCCAGACUCCUACGGGAGGCAGCAGUGGGGAAUAUUGGACAAUGGGCGAAAGCCUGAUCCAGCCAUGACGCGUGUGUGAAGAAGGUCCUCGGAUUGUAAAGCACUUUAAGUUGGGAGGAAGGGCAGUAAGUUAAUACCUUGCUGUUUUGACGUUACCAACAGAAUAAGCACCGGCUAACUUCGUG